rnacentral:tRNA from 1 species
AUCAAACAAGCUUUUAUAGCGUUUCACUUACACUGAAAAAAAUCUUCAAUA